AAACGAAAAUCAAUUUGUAUAUAUUGAUGAGUUAAAAAUACAAUAUGCACAAAAUGAUGAGUCACCUUUAGUUAAUGAAUUUUCAGCGGAAUUAUUAGUCGAUCAAACUGUUUUUGAUAAAGCGAUGUCAGAUUUAUAUUUAAAUCC
rnacentral:sRNA from 1 species